rnacentral:rRNA from 1 species
UAGGGAAUCUUCGGCAAUGGACGAAAGUCUGACCGAGCAACGCCGCGUGAGUGAAGAAGGUUUUCGGAUCGUAAAACUCUGUUGUUAGAGAAGAACAAGGACGUUAGUAACUGAACGUCCCCUGACGGUAUCUAACCAGAAAGCCACGGCUAACUACGUGCCAGCAGCCGCGGUAAUACGUAGGUGGCAAGCGUUGUCCGGAUUUAUUGGGCGUAAAGCGAGCGCAGGCGGUUUCUUAAGUCUGAUGUGAAAGCCCCCGGCUCAACCGGGGAGGGUCAUUGGAAGCUGGGAGACUUGAGUGCAGAAGAGGAGAGUGGAAUUCCAUGUGUAGCGGUGAAAUGCGUAGAUAUAUGGAGGAACAACAGUGGCGAAGGCGGCUCUCUGGUCUGUAACUGACGCUGAGGCUCGAAAGCGUGGGGAGCAAACAGG